UACGUAGGUGGCAAGCGUUGUCCGGAUUUACUGGGUGUAAAGGGCGUGUAGCCGGGCUGACAAGUCAGAUGUGAAAUCCGGGGGCUCAACCCCCGAACUGCAUUUGAAACUGUUGGUCUUGAGCAUCGGAGAGGCAGGCGGAAUUCCUAGUGUAGCGGUGAAAUGCGUAGAUAUUAGGAGGAACACCAGUGGCGAAGGCGGCCUGCUGGACGACAACUGACGGUGAGGCGCGAAAGCGUGGGGAGCAAACAGG
rnacentral:rRNA from 1 species